GUCUGUACUAGUUGGCUAACUAGAUCUGUAUCUGGCGGUUCCGCGGAAGAACUGACGAGUUCGUAUUCCCGGCCGCAGCCCCUGGGAGACGUCCCAGCGGCC
rfam:Mus musculus chromosome 5, GRC primary reference assembly.